rnacentral:rRNA from 1 species
UACGUAGGGUGCGAGCGUUGUCCGGAAUUACUGGGCGUAAAGCGCGCGUAGGCGGACCUGCAAGUCGGGGGUGAAAGCCCGAGGCUCAACCUCGGAACUGCCUUCGAUACUGCGGGUCUCGAGUCCGGGAGAGGUGAGUGGAAUUCCUAGUGUAGAGGUGAAAAUUCGUAGAUAUUAGGAAGAACACCAGUGGCGGAAAGGCGGCUCACUGGCCCGGUACUGACGCUGAGGCGCGAAAGCGUGGGGGAGCAAAACAGG